CACGACGAGACAGUGGCACGCGACAACAUCGCACAUGAGACUCCGGCGGAGCUGCGAUGGCGUGUGGCGGCGUUAGACAGGGGCAUUCCUCACCUUCCACUGCCGCUCACGACUAGGUUGUGGCCGCUCAUUCCAUCUCAUCUCACUCAUCAACCCAGCGCUGUUGAUUCAAUUUUCGUAGACUUAUUGGUCGCAUAUAAUUGUCUCUGGAUGUAAAGUACAUGGUUUUCCCCAUGUUGUUUCUAAAUUCUUGUUUUACCCUGUUUCCUUGUGUGAUGUUGUGGUCUCUUUUUUGCCGUUAGUCUGGUGCUCUGCUGUUGUAAUAAGUAGGUCAGGAACUCCUUAGUGUUCUAUAGAACUGUCUGCAAUCGAUUUGUCCCCUUGAUCA